rnacentral:siRNA from 1 species
UUAUUUAUUUGGGUACCCAGC